AUUGAACGCUGGCGGCAUGCUCUACACAUGCAAGUCGAACGGUAACAGGCCGCAAGGUGCUGACGAGUGGCGAACGGGUGCGUGAUGCAUCGAAACGUGCCCACUCGUUGGGGAUAACUACUCGAAUGAGUAGAUAAUACCUCAUACGAUCUAUGGAUUAAAGCCGGAGACCGUAAUGCCUCGCGCGAUUGGUGCGGCCGAUGUCAGAUUAGUUAGUUGGUGGGGUAAAGGCUCACCAAGCCAACGAUCUGUAGCUGGUCUGAGAGGACGACCAGCCACACUGGGACUGAGACACGGCCCAGACUCCUACGGGAGGCAGCAGUGGGGAAUUUUGGACAAUGGGCGCAAGCCUGAUCCAGCAAUGCCGCGUGCAGGAUGAAGGCCUUCGGGUUGUAAACUGCUUUUGUACGGAACGAAACGGUUUUGGUUAAUACCUGGGGGUAAUGACGGUACCGUAUGAAAAAGCACCGGCUAACUACGUG
rnacentral:rRNA from 1 species